AACAAACGCUGGCGGCGUGCCUAAUACAUGCAAGUCGAACGGGGAAAGCUUUCGGGUGAGUACUAGUGGCGCACGGGUGAGGAACGCGUGGAUCAUCUGCCUUAGAGUGGGGGAUAACUAGUCGAAAGAUUAGAUAAUACUGCAUAAGACCACAGGAGCUGCGGCUCAAGGGGUCAAAGGUUUUUAGCUCUAAGAUGAGUCCGCGUAAGAUUAGCUAGUUGGUGAGGUAACGGCUAACCAAGGCGGCGAUCUUUAACUGGUCUGAGAGGAUGAGCAGUCACACUGGAACUGAGACGCGGUCCAGACUCCUACGGGAGUCAGCAGUGGGGAAUAUUGAACAAUGGAGGAAACUCUGAUGCAGCGACGCCGCGUGGGUGAUUAAGGCCUUCGGGUCGUAAAGCUCUGUCGCAGGGGAAUAACACAAUGAAUGUACCCUGUAAGAAAGGAUCGGCUAACUUCGUGCCAGCAGCCGCAGUAAUAC
rnacentral:rRNA from 1 species